ACACACCAACACGGAAGCGUGUGCGCACGCACGUGCAUGCAACUCAAUCGCACAGUGCCCCCACUCACUCUAUCAAUGUCUCUUUGGGCUUCCCAUUAUCUGUAGCCUCGAUGAGGGAACGCGAGAGGCGCGCACCUCUGUUACGGUCAACCGUUUUGUGUUUUUGUGCUCGGAUUGCAUCAGCAUACGUGUUGUUGCGAGCUUAGGUGUCUAUGCGUGUUUCUCAGUCGGCGUAAUUCAAGCCGUAGCAUAUGCACGCAACUUCCCCUCAUUCCUCGCUCACCUCUGCGGUUUCUCCGCGAGGUCGACGAGCAGAGUCACGCUUUCCGGGUGUCUCAUCACCGACGCACUCAUACUCCCACCGCUGCUUCAUCAUAGCCAUCUCCUACACUGUGAGCACAAAUCCGUUUCUCGUGCUCUGCGUUCUGCAAGAGAUGAUGCUCUGUUUUUCUUUUUCACGUUGGCCUUGACGGCAUGUAGCGAAGGUGGCAUCGCUGAACCACAGACACGCACGCACACACAUGCGCUGCUCGACGCAGACGAGGGCGAGCGUUCCCGGGGCGGAGCAAGUGCGCGCUCGUGCUGAAAAAAAAAAGGAGUGAGUGGUGGCUGGCCGCGUUUGGCCCAACAUUGUGUAUAUGUUUUCUUCGCCUCUGUCGCUGGCAUGCCCUCAUUUCCUUCGGGCGUUUUUUCGUCUUUCUGAUGGACAGCUCGGAUGGCAGCGUUCUUCUUCGCAGCAUCGAUGCUUUGUAUCUCGGCCCUUUCUCAUGAACGCAUGCGGAGCCCUUCUGCAGGCUUGGCUGCGCUCCUGGCAGACUGAUUCGGCCACCCACGCGACUGUGCAUCAUGCUGCAACAUGCCUUUGUGGCAAUACCGCACUCCUCUCUCCCGACCUUCCCCUCCUUUUUCGACACACACGCACGCAUCCAUGUGUCGGUAUGCUUCAAACUUGUGUGCUUCCUCGGCGGACGUGCUGCUCCGGCGCAG
rnacentral:misc_RNA from 1 species